rnacentral:rRNA from 1 species
CCUACGGGAGGCAGCAGUGAGGAAUAUUGGUCAAUGGACGAGAGUCUGAACCAGCCAAGUAGCGUGAAGGAUGACUGCCCUAUGGGUUGUAAACUUCUUUUAUAUGGGAAUAAAAUGUUCCACGUGUGGGAUUUUUUAUGUACCAUAUGAAUAAGGAUCGGCUUACUCCGUGCCAGCAGCCGCGGUAAUACGGAGGAUCCGAGAGUUAUCCGGAUUUUUUGGGGUUAAAGGGGGCGUAGGUGGAUUCUUAAGUCAGUUGUGAAAGUUUGCGGCUGAACCGUAAAAUUGCAGUUGAAACUGGCAGUCUUGAGUACAGUAGAGGUAGGCGGAAUUCGUGGUGUAGCGGUGAAAUGCUUAGAUAUCACGAAGAACUCCGAUUGCGAAGGCAGCUCACUGGACUGCAACUGACACUGAGGCUCGAAAGUGUGGGUAUCGAACAGGAUUAGAUACCCCUGUAGUC